rnacentral:rRNA from 1 species
AGAGUUUGAUCCUGGCUCAGAACGAACGCUGGCGGCGUGGCUAAGGCAUGCAAGUCGAACGAGGUGUGUGGAAGGUAACGGAAGCACAUUUACUGGCCAACGGGUGAGGAAUAGAUAGGUUACAUACCCUGGACACAGGAAUAGCGGCGUCCCGACUUGAUCGGGACUUUGCGAAAGUGUCCGUAAUACCUGAUGACAUCACUGGACCGCAUGGUCCGGGGAUCAAAGGUCCGCAGGUCUGGUACCCCCCUAUCUCCUAUCACCUUGUUGGAGGGGUGACGGCCUACCUACGAUUCGACAGAUACCAAGCGUGAGAGAACGAUCUGGCACACCCACGAUUGACACAGCUGACCCGGACAUCUACGCAUGGCUGCAGCCACCAAUAUUCCGCAAUGGCCAAAAACCUGAGUUACCCUCGCUGCGUGACUUAUCUCACCCUUUCGUGUGCAAACCUGAGUACGGGCUUGGGAACAAAGUGAUCAACCCCCCCAAGAAAAGUCCGCUAACUUCUUGCGAACAGCCGCCGUCAAACUCAGGACGCAAUCAUGUUUCUCGAAUUCCUGUUCAAUAACACCGCCUGACAGCCCCCGCGGGAGGGUACCCCUCAGAAAUCCCCCUUCAACUCUAAACGAACGGUCCUGCCCCCUGG